rnacentral:tmRNA from 1 species
GGGGGUGACUGGAUUUGACAGCGAGCUGAGAUGGUACGUAAGCAUGCGGAGUGAAGACUGUGUACUCCAUAAUCCAUUCGGUCAAAAAUUUAAUUGGCGAAAACAAGUACGCUCUCGCUGCCUAAUCGAAGUACAGUAGAUUACUGGCUUUAUUCUCCUACUAGGUAGGGGAACGAGACAUCGCUCCAAGGAUGUUGUCCCGAAUCUGAGGAACAAGCGGUGCAGGUAAAUCGGGAAUAGUCAGGCUAGGCCUCGAUAGUCUGAUGAGAUUUAGAGGAUAAGGUUGCAGUUGGUGGCUUGGGUCUUGCUGCGGCUCGAAAAUGAAGGCCAAGAUAAGCAUGUAGAAAGCGUAUGGUUUCCUCGUGUGGACGAGGGUUCGAUUCCCUCCACUUCCACU